CGCACUACUAAAAAUUUUCUUGAAUGCUUCUUAUGUAAAAACUAUGCUUCGUAUGGAAUAAAGGCCCUUUUAUUACUACGAGGAUUCUACAAGACCUCCGAAGGGUCAAGUACGGCGUGUGACGAAUCAAGAGUGGUCUUUUUCUUCUAGGGUGUACUUGCAGGUCGUUAAAAAUAAUGACUGAACUGAUGGAUAAAUAUUGUGGAAUUGGUGGUGAAAUUUUGAAGGAGGAACUUGGAAGCUAUUGAGAUUGCUUAUGGUAUCUUUUCUAGUUAACUUGAUUAUAUGGGGUCAGGACGCUUCACAUGAGCAUUGCACUUAUAGGCUUCGGAGGUGAUUAUGAGUUCGUUCCAUUGAAGGUUUAAAGGCCAUGUGGAAGGAAGACUUGAAACUUUUCCCAAGUUAUUGAUUAGUCCUCAAGUCCGGGGAUGAUACCACUUUUCUACUUUAGCUAUGAUAUCAACUAUGUAUAGAAAAAUUAUUCUUUCCUUAUCAUUGACACUUUGUUGUAAGCCAAUAUGUGGCACAUUGUUAUAGCAUAAGGGCUAUGCCAAAUCUUAUAUUCUAUGCUAGAUGGUUCAUGUUUGACACAAAUAUUAGACUACUUUAUAUGUUUUGUCUAUAUUCCAUAAAUGAGAAGUCUAU